CCAGAUGCGUCUAGCCGUGUAAACCCUCCCAAUCCGAGCAGAGUUACCUGAUCUAAUGUCACUUUCUCUGAAUAACCGGUAGCGAUUUUGCACGGCAACAUCUCCGGGAUCUUUUACCUGAAACCCCAAACAACUUCCGGGCCCAUGCUGGGAUACAGGCCCGAGUAACCUAUAACCGAAAACCGCCUCGCAAAUCCACGAUUGCGAGAGAUUAUCGAAUUCAUCGAUCCUCAUGCUACAGAAGUAAUUCAUAUGCCUCCUGAAUCUGAAUAAACAUCUGCUGUGCCUCUGCUUGCCGCUUGGGAUUGUGGUCUGGAUGCCACACUUUGACCAGUUCUUUAUAGCUGCGAGUGACCUCCUCCAGAGAAGCUUCUUCUGACAGUGAUAGCAUCUGAUUCAUCUUCCUCCAGGUUUCCUCGUAGAAACCUCCUCCUGUCAGGCCACAUAGCAGACGAUAUGGCAACAGCAAAAAAUACUCUAGGAGUCCUUUGAGCCAUGGAAUGAACCAGA